rnacentral:rRNA from 1 species
GACGAACGCUGGCGGCGUGCUUAACACAUGCAAGUCGAACGGAAAGGCCCUACUUUUGUGGAGUGCUCGAGUGGCGAACGGGUGAGUAACACGUGAGUAACCUGCCCUUGACUCUGGGAUAACUUCAGGAAACUGGGGCUAAUACUGGAUAUGAGCUUCUGCUGCAUGGUGGUGGGUGGAAAGUUUCGGCGGUUGGGAAUGGACUGGCGUCUUAUAAGCUUGUUGGUGGGGUAGUGGCUUACAAAGGCAUUAACGGGAAGCCGCCCUGGGAGGUUGACCGGCCACAUUGGAACUGAGUUACGGCCCGGAUUCUUCCGGGAGGCAGCGUUGGGGAUUUUUGCCAAUUGGGCGAAAGCCUAUUCCACGAAGCCGGCUGACGGGAGAACGCCCUUCGGGUUGUAAACUGCUUUCGCCUGUAACAAGGCGUGGGGACCGUUAAUGGAGAAAGAGGCACCGCCUAACUACGU